AGUAGAGUGGCGAGCGCGGAGCAGCGUGGGAAUUGGCCGAUAGUGGGGAAAAUUGGGGAGACUGAGCUCUUACGCAUACGCCCUAAUGGGGAUGAUCUCGGUGCUAUCGGAUGAGCCGCGUAGCCAGUGGUGGUGGGGUAACGGCCUACCAAGGCAACGAUUGUAGCCGGUUGAGAGGAGAAAGCCACACUGGGAUGAGAACGGCCCAGAUCCUAGGGAGGCAGCAGUGGGGAAAUUGGACAAUGGGCGGAAGCCUGAUCCAGCAAUGCCGCGUGUGUGAAGAAGGCCUGCGGGUUGUAAAGCACUUCUCAGCUGGGAAGAUAAUGACGUUACCAGCAGAAGAAAGCACCGGCUAACUUCCGUGCCAGCAGCCGCGGUAAUACGGAGGGUGCAAGCGUUAAUCGGAAUUUACUGGGGCGUAAAGCGCACGUAGGUGGCGUAGUCAGUCAGAAUGUGAAAUCCCCGGGCUUAACCUGGGAACUGCAUUUUGAUACUGCUGCGCUAGAGUAUAGUAGAGGACAGUGGAAUUCCAGGUGUAGCGGUGAAAUGCGUAGAUAUCUGGAGGAACAUCAGUGGCGAAAGCGGCUGUCUGGACUAAUACUGACACUGAGGUGCGAAAGCGUGGGUAGCAAACAGGAUUAGAUACCCUGGUAGUCCACGCCGUA
rnacentral:rRNA from 1 species